rnacentral:rRNA from 1 species
UACGAAGGGGGCUAGCGUUGCUCGGAAUCACUGGGCGUAAAGCGCACGUAGGCGGCUUCUUAAGUCAGGGGUGAAAUCCUGGAGCUCAACUCCAGAACUGCCUUUGAUACUGAGAAGCUUGAAUCCGGGAGAGGGAUGCAGAAUUCCCAGUGUAGAGGUGAAAUUCGUAGAUAUUGGGAGGAACACCGGUGGCGAAGGCGGCGAUCUGGGUGGUGACUGACGCUGAGGCGCGAAAGCGUGGGGAGCAAACAGG